rnacentral:tRNA from 1 species
GCACCCGUAGCUCAACUGGAUAGAGUACCUGACUACGAAUCAGGCGGUUGGAGGUUCGAAUCCCCCCGGGUGUA